UGGCGAACGGGUGAGUAACACGUGAGCAAUCUGCCCCUGACUCUGGGAUAAGCGCUGGAAACGGCGUCUAAUACUGGAUACGAACCGUGGAGGCAUCUUCAACGGUUGGAAAGAUUUUUUGGUCAGGGAUGAGCUCGCGGCCUAUCAGCUUGUUGGUGAGGUAAUGGCUCACCAAGGCGUCGACGGGUAGCCGGCCUGAGAGGGUGACCGGCCACACUGGGACUGAGACACGGCCCAGACUCCUACGGGAGGCAGCAGUGGGGAAUAUUGCACAAUGGGCGAAAGCCUGAUGCAGCAACGCCGCGUGAGGGAUGACGGCCUUCGGGUUGUAAACCUCUUUUAGCAGGGAAGAAGCGAAAGUGACGGUACCUGCAGAAAAAGCGCCGGCUAACUACGUGCCAGCAGCCGCGGUAAUACGUAGGGCGCAAGCGUUAUCCGGAAUUAUUGGGCGUAAAGAGCUCGUAGGCGGUUUGUCGCGUCUGCUGUGAAAUCCCGAGGCUCAACUUCGGGUCUGCAGUGGGUACGGGCAGACUAGAGUGCGGUAGGGGAGAUUGGAAUUCCUGGUGUAGCGGUGGAAUGCGCAGAUAUCAGGAGGAACACCGAUGGCGAAGGCAGAUCUCUGGGCCGUAACUGACGCUGAGGAGCGAAAGGGUGGGGAGCAAACAGGCUUAGAUACCCUGGUAGUCCACCCCGUAAACGUUGGGAACUAGUUGUGGGGUCCAUUCCACGGAUUCCGUGACGCAGCUAACGCAUUAAGUUCCCCGCCUGGGGAGUACGGCCGCAAGGCUAAAACUCAAAGGAAUUGACGGGGACCCGCACAAGCGGCGGAGCAUGCGGAUUAAUUCGAUGCAACGCGAAGAACCUUACCAAGGCUUGACAUAUACGAGAACGCUGCAGAAAUGUAGAACUCUUUGGACACUCGUAAACAGGUGGUGCAUGGUUGUCGUCAGCUCGUGUCGUGAGAUGUUGGGUUAAGUCCCGCAACGAGCGCAACCCUCGUUCUAUGUUGCCAGCACGUAAUGGUGGGAACUCAUGGGAUACUGCCGGGGUCAACUCGGAGGAAGGUGGGGAUGACGUCAAAUCAUCAUGCCCCUUAUGUCUUGGGCUUCACGCAUGCUACAAUGGCCGGUACAAAGGGCUGCAAUACCGUGAGGUGGAGCGAAUCCCAAAAAGCCGGUCCCAUUUCGGAUUGAGGUCUGCAACUCGACCUCAUGAAGUCGGAGUCGCUAGUAAUCGCAGAUCAGCAACGCUGCGGUGAAUACGUUCCCGGGUCUUGUACACACCGCCCGUCAAGUCAUGAAAGUCGGUAACACCUGAAGCCGGUGGCCCAACCCUUGUG
rnacentral:rRNA from 1 species